GAGAGAGAGAUUAAAAGUAGUUGGUUAAAGUGUAUGUAAACUUCCGACUUCAACUGUAUAUACAGGGUCAGUAGAUACAGUAUGUAUAGGGGUCAGGGGACUAUAUACAGGGUCAGUAGAUACAGUAUGUAUAGGGGUCAGGGGACUAUAUACAGGGUCAGUAGAUACAGUAUGUAUAGGGGUCAGGGGACUAUAUACAGGGUCAGUAGAUACAGUAUGUAUAGGGGUCAGGUGACUAUAUACAGGGUCAGUAGAUACAGUAUGUAUAUAGGGGUCAGGGGACUAUAUACAGGGUCAGUAGAUACAGUAUGUGUAGGCGUCAGGUGACUAUAUACAGGGUCAGUAGAUACAGUAUGUAUAGGGGUCAGG
ensembl:lncRNA